AACGUAACAAGGUUUCCGUAGGUGAACCUGCGGAAGGAUCAUUGUCGAUGCCUUACAUGCAGACCAACACGUGAAUCAGUUUGAACACAUAGGGUUGGUUUGAGGUGUUCAACACCUCGGCUUGCCUCUGGUUCGGAGGAGGACGAUGUUGUGCGUUCUCCUUUGUGCCAAAACACAAACCCCGGCGCUGAAUGCGUCAAGGAAUUUAAAAUUUGCUCUGAGCGCACCUGCAUGGCACCGGAGACGGUUUUCGUGCGGGUUGUGUUCUGACACAUAAUAUAGAAUGACUCUCGGCAACGGAUAUCUAGGCUCUUGCAUCGAUGAAGAACGUAGCGAAAUGCGAUACUUGGUGUGAAUUGCAGAAUCCCGUGAACCAUCGAGUCUUUGAACGCAAGUUGCGCCCGAUGCCAUUAGGUUGAGGGCACGUCUGCCUGGGCGUCACAUAUCGAAGCCUCUCGCCAAUUUCCUAUAUUGAUAGGGGUAUUGUGCAGGGCGAAUGUUGGCCUCCCGUGAGCUUUAUUGCCUCAUGGUUGGUUGAAAAUCGAGACCUUGGUAGGGUGUGCCAUGAUAGGUGGUGGCUGUGUUACGCACGAGACCAAGUAAGUCAUGUGCUGCUCUAUUGAAUUUAGGCCUCUUUUACCCACAUGCGUUUCGAAACGCUCGUGAUGAGACCUCAGGUCAGGCGGGGCUACCCGCUGAAUUUAAGCAUAUCAUAGAAGCGGGAGAAAAAAUAG
rnacentral:rRNA from 1 species